AGAGUUUGAUCCUGGCUCNGAACGAACGCUGGCGGCAGGCUUAACACAUGCAAGUUGAACGGGAUUAAUUUAGUGCUUUGCACUAAAUUAUGAGAGUAGCGCACGGGUGAGUAAUACAUGGGAACCUAUCCUGAAUGGGGGACAACAGUUGGAAACGACUGCUAAUACCGCAUACGCCCCGAGGGGGAAAGAUUUAUCGCUUUAGGCAGGGCCCAUGGCAGAUUAGGCAGUUGGUGAGGUAACGGCUCACCAAACCGACGAUCUGUAGCUGGUCUGAGAGGACGAUCAGCCACACUGGAACUGAGACACGGUCCAGACUCCUACGGGAGGCAGCA
rnacentral:rRNA from 1 species